rnacentral:rRNA from 1 species
UGGGGAAUUUUGGACAAUGGGCGAAAGCCUGAUCCAGCAAUGCCGCGUGUGUGAAGAAGGCCUUCGGGUUGUAAAGCACUUUUGUCCGGAAAGAAAUCCUUGGCUCUAAUACAGUCGGGGGAUGACGGUACCGGAAGAAUAAGCACCGGCUAACUACGUGCCAGCAGCCGCGGUAAUACGUAUGGUGCAAGCGUUAAUCGGAAUUACUGGGCGUAAAGCGUGCGCAGGCGGUUUUGCUAAGACCGAUGUGAAAUCCCCGGGCUCAACCUGGGAACUGCAUUGGUGACUGGCAGGCUAGAGUAUGGCAGAGGGGGGUAGAAUUCCACGUGUAGCAGUGAAAUGCGUAGAGAUGUGGAGGAAUACCGAUGGCGAAGGCAGCCCCCUGGGCCAAUACUGACGCUCAUGCACGAAAAGCGUGGGGAGCAAAACAGGAUUAGAUACCCUGGUAGUCCACGCCCUAAACGAUGUCAACUAGUUGUUGGGGAUUCAUUUCCUUAGUAACGUAGCUAACGCGUGAAGUUGACCGCCUGGGGAGUACGGUCGCAAGAUUAAAACUCAAAUGAAUUGACGGGGUCAUAGCUGUUUCCU